rnacentral:misc_RNA from 1 species
AAGCCGGUGAUCGUGCUGAUCAACGGCGGCUCGGCAUCGGCGUCGGAAAUCGUCGCCGGCGCAUUGCAGGAUCACAAGCGCGCCACGCUGCUCGGCACCCGCUCGUUCGGCAAGGGAUCGGUGCAGACCAUCAUCCCGCUCGGCUCCGGCAACGGCGCGCUGCGGCUGACCACUGCGCGCUACUUCACGCCGUCAGGCAAGUCGAUCCAGGCCAAGGGCAUCAUCCCGGAUAUCGAAGUCC